rnacentral:misc_RNA from 1 species
AAAAUAAUCCUACCCUUUGUGAAUUUUGUUUGUUUGAAUAAUUUUUUUUUUUUAAAAAAUUAUUGGAGUCUUUCCCUUUAGAGUUUGCUUUUGAGUUUGUAAAAGAAUUCGAAACAUCUAAAGGGGAUGGUCAAUAAUUUUUUUUGAAAAAAGACAUUUUUUAAAAUUAAACUUUUUGUAUUCAUUUGUCUAAAAAUUAUUUUUAUAAUAUAAAAACAACUUUUGACAAUGGAUCUCUUGGUUCUCGCAACGAUGAAGAACGCAGCAAAAUGCGAUAAGUAGUGUGAAUUGCAGAAUACGUGAAUCAUCGAAUCUUUGAACGCAUAUUGCACUUUUUUAGUUUACUAAAAGAGUAUGUCUGUUUGAGUAUCAGUAAAAUAUUCUCAUAAAAAUCAUUGUGUAUUUUUAUGGUUAUGAGUGUUUUACAACGAUACAAGUUGUUUCACUUUAAAUUUUUUUUUUAAUAUUGAAAUUUUUUCUAAUUUUAAUAAUUAAAAUUGGAUAAAAUUUUCCCGUCAAAAGGAAUAACCUAAACAAUUUUAAAUGAUUAAUUUUAGCAAAAUUUUCGAAAAAAAGGAAAAUUUUUGUUAAAAUAACUUGAUCUCAAAUCAGAUAAGAGUACCCGCUGAACUUAAGCAUAUCAAUAAGCGGAGGAAAAGAAACUAACAAGGAUUCCCUUAGUAACGGCGAGUGAAGCGGGAAGAGCUCAAAUUUGAAAUCUUCAAGGUUUUACCUUGACGAAUUGUAGUUUAAAGAAGUGUUUUCUGCUGAAGUUUUGGUAAAAGUUCUUUGGAAUAGGACAUCAUAGAGGGUGAGAAUCCCGUAUUUGACCAUUAUUUUCAGCUUUGUGAUACACUUUCAAAGAGUCGGAUUGUUUGGGAAUGCAGUCCAAAAUGGGUGGUAAAUUUCAUCUAAAGCUAAAUAUUGGCGAGAGACCGAUAGCGAACAAGUACCGUGAGGGAAAGAUGAAAAGAACUUUGAAAAGAGAGUUAAACAGUACGUGAAAUUGUCAAAAGGGAAGCGUUUGACACCAGUGUUGUUUUCUCGAGAAUCAAUUAAAAAUGGCUCGAUUUUGUAUUGCUGAGGCCUUAAAAGCUCACUGUACAUUUUUCGUGUCUUUUUUAAUGCACUUUUCGUUUAACAAGUCAACAUCAGUUUCUUUUGUCGUAAAAGGGUCAUUGGAAGGUGGCUUUCUUUUCGGAGAAAGUGUUUAUAGCCUUUGGCCUCUGCAAUCGAAGAGACUGAGGUCUGCAGCGUAGACUCUUCGGGGUUAGAUACAUUUGUGCUAAGUUAUAGCUUUUUAUAGACAACUUGUUGACUAUAAUUAGCCUUGUAGCUUACUCGCUUAUGCUAUUUUACCUACGCUUAGGAUG